rnacentral:lncRNA from 1 species
AGAUGAGGCUGCAAUUGACAACAGGAAAGUUUAUAGUCCUAAUUGCAUACAGAGCACAUCCCUUAACGCACUUACAGGGGAGACAUUGCCAAUUCCCUUUUACAGUUCAAAAAGGGACCAUUAGACCUUUGUGCCCAGAACACAAGAAAGGUGAAGAAGAGAUGGAAAGCAGGAUGCCAAUGAGAGCUGAGGAGACAAGAGUGUUUGCAGUUUUCAUUCAGAGGAGAAAAGAGGACUUGGUGAGAGUUGGAGGGAAAAGAGACUACCUAUAAGUGUCUGAAGAGCUGUCUUGUGGAAGAGGGACUAACUUGUCUAGGAGUUGUAGGUAAGAAUUUGCACAUAGGCCCAUUUC